AGGAAAUUUUUAAAAUUUUUGUAUGAAAGUACCAGGCAGUAAUAGACAAUUGCUGUAAAUGCAACUCAGGAUGAGACCUAUCAGUUUAUUUCUACCUUUAGUUAUAUGUUCUUUUAACUUCGUCUUAAAGAGAUGUUUUGCAAACGCUUUUUGUGAGGGAAAACCUAAUUAUUGCUGUGAAGGUUAUAUGUUCGAUUUUCAAAGGGGAAGCUGUAAAAAAUGUGAUGACGGGUUCUAUGGAACAAACUGUUCAAUAAAAUGCCCUCCUGAAACGUAUGGCUGGAAUUGUCAAAUGCUGUGCAAGUGUGAAAAGCCUUGUCAUCAUGCAUAUGGAUGUG